rnacentral:rRNA from 1 species
UACGAAGGGGGCUAGCGUUGCUCGGAAUUACUGGGCGUAAAGCGCACGUAGGCGGCUCUUUAAGUCGGGGGUGAAAUCCUGGAGCUCAACUCCAGAACUGCCUUCGAUACUGUAGAGCUUGAGACCCGGAAGAGGUAAGUGGAACUGCGAGUGUAGAGGUGAAAUUCGUAGAUAUUCGGAAGAACACCAGUGGCGAAGGCGGCUCACUGGACGACUGUUGACGCUGAGGUGCGAAAGCGUGGGGAGCAAACAGG